AGAGUUUGAUUAUGGCUCAGGAUGAACGCUAGCGAUAGGCCUAACACAUGCAAGUCGAGGGGCAGCACAUGAGUAGCAAUACGAUGGUGGCGACCGGCGCACGGGUGAGUAACACGUAUGCAACCUACCUUUAACAGGGGAAUAACCCGUUGAAAAACGGACUAAUACUCCAUAACACAGGGGUCCCGCAUGGGAAUAUUUGUUAAAGAUUAAUCGGUUGAAGAUGGGCAUGCGUUCCAUUAGCUUGUUGGUGAGGUAACGGCUCACCAAGGCCACGAUGGAUAGGGGAACUGAGAGGUUUAUCCCCCACACUGGAACUGAGACACGGUCCAGACUCCUACGGGAGGCAGCAGUGAGGAAUAUUGGUCAAUGGAGGCAACUCUGAACCAGCCAAGUCGCGUGAAAGGAUGAAGGUCUUAUGGAUUGUAAACUUCUUUUGCAAGGGAAUAAAGUGGGGGACGUGUCCUCCUUUGCAUGUACCUUGCGAAUAAGGAUCGGCUAACUCCGUGCCAGCCGCAGC
rnacentral:rRNA from 1 species